rnacentral:rRNA from 1 species
GCUCAACCGGGGAGGGUCAUUGGAAACUGGGGAACCUGAGUGCAGAAGAGGAGAGUGGAAUUCCACGUGUAGCGGUGAAAUGCGUAGAGAUGUGGAGGAACACCAGUGGCGAAGGCGACUCUCUGGUCUGUAACUGACGCUGAGGCGCGAAAGCGUGGGGAGCGAACAGGAUUAGAUACCCUGGUAGUCCACGCCGUAAACGAUGAGUGCUAAGUGUUAGAGGGUUUCCGCCCUUUAGUGCUGCAGCAAACGCAUUAAGCACUCCGCCUGGGGAGUACGGUCGCAAGACUGAAACUCAAAGGAAUUGACGGGGGCCCGCACAAGCGGUGGAGCAUGUGGUUUAAUUCAAAGCAACGCGAAGAACCUUACCAGGUCUUGACAUCCUCUGACAACCCUAGAGAUAGGGCUUCCCCUUCGGGGGCAGAGUGACAGGCGGUGCAUGGUUGUCGUCAGCUCGUGUCGUGAGAUGUUGGGUUAAGUCCCGCAACGAGCGCAACCCUUGAUCUUAGUUGCCAGCAUUCAGUUGGGCACUCUAAGGUAACUGCCGGUGACAAACCGGAGGAAGGUGGGGAUGACGUCAAAUCAUCAUGCCCCUUAUGACCUGGGCUACACACGUGCUACAAUGGGCAGAACAAAG